AAACAUCGCCUCUUGAAAAAUUAUAAGAGGUCCAGCCUGCCCAGUGACUAAGUUCAACGGCCGCGGUACCCUAACCGUGCGAAGGUAGCAUAAUCACUUGUUCUUUAAAUGGGGACUUGUAUCAACGGCACCACGAGGGCUGCACUGUCUCCUUUCUUCAAUCAGUGAAACUGAUCUCCCCGUGAAGAAGCGGGGAUUAAACUAUAAGACGAGAAGACCCCAUGGAGCUUCAAACUCAUUAUGCAACUCUGUGCUCCACACCCCCUAACACAAGAGCCAUGCAUAACAGUUUUGGGUUGGGGGGACCUCGGAGUAUAACUUAACCUCCUAAGCAAACAGGUUAGCACCUUUAUCCAUGAAAAACACCUCUAAGAAUUAUUAAAUUAAUGUAUUUGACCCGAUAAUCGAUCAAUGAACCAAGUUACCCUGGGGAUAACAGCGCAAUCUACUUCAAGAGUUCCUAUCGACAAGUGGGUUUACGACCUCGAUGUUGGAUCAGGGUAUCCCAGUGGUGCAGCCGCUACUAAUGGUUCGUUUGUUCAACGAUUAAAACCCUACGUGAUCU
rnacentral:rRNA from 1 species